CGAGGCGGACGGGUGACCGCCGACAAGUGAAUAACGUGUUGGAGGAAAGUCCGGGCUCCACAGAGCAGGGCGCUGGGUAACACCCAGUCGGGGCGACCCGAAGGAAAGUGCCACAGAAAUAACACCGCCAGGCCGAGACUGUCUCCGGAGAGUCUUGGUCGGGUAAGGGUGAAAUGGUGGGGUAAGAGCCCACCGGCGGCCGGGUAACCGGCCGGCCAGGCAAACCCCGCCCGGAGCAAGACCAAAUAGGAGAGCGUUCACGGUGGCUCGCCGAGCUCUCGGGUAUCGGUCGCUAGAGGUGCCGGGCAACCGGCAUCGCAGACAGAUGGUCACCGUCCCGCAAGGGAUACAGAACCCGGCUUAUGUCCGUUCUCGGUCC
rnacentral:RNase_P_RNA from 1 species